AUUUAAAUAGCUUAUAAAGAGUAUAAUAUUGAAGAUAUUAAGGAGAUUAAUAAAUCUUUAAAUA